UCCGACACGUGUGUGAGGGUGUGAAAUUUGUGCGUGCUUACAGCAUGAAUUUAUGUUUUUGUUUCUGUGCACUCACUUGCCUGCACACGGUUGUCUGCAUAUAUGCAAUACGAUGUGUGUUUAUGUGUGUGGUGGGAUGAGGCAGUUUUAUUAUAUCAUCACAUCUCUGUUGAAAUGCAGUGAGAGCUUCUAGAGCUGCUGUCAGCUGGACAGGAAAGAUUGUCGCUCCUGUAAGUCAUUAAUCACAUGCUUUGCAGCUUUGUUUGUCUCUCACCAAAGGAUCCAUACAUGUUGUGUUUAGAUUAAUUAAAAGACUGAAAAACUUGAAAACACAACUUAGACUUCAAGCAGGUUUUGUUCGACAAUUAGGGCCUAUAUAUUUAAUGAUUUAUGUCAAAUCAUACAGUACGUUAACUUCUUAGAUCAUGAUUUGUGUGAAGAUUGAAUUCAAAAUUUGCGAUAAAUAAAAUGAUAAACUGUUAAAUGACAACGAUAUACCAUAUAUAACAUAUUCUUCAUUACAACCGAACAACUGAACAAACUGGUAAAAACACAGAAAACAAAUCCAUGAAUAUUGGCAGUAAUAAUCCCUAAAUAAUGAGGACAAACUCUUUCUAAACAUAGCAAUCCUAUAGUAUAUAGCAGUAUUCUUCAAACAGUGAUCUGACACGCUUUGGAACAGAUUGUAUUUUUUAUAGACGUCUAAUGAUCAUCAGAUGUCACAGGCUGGUGCCUUGGUCUUAAGACAUCAGGCUAAUUCCUGCACACAGUCGCAUCUUUUAACAAUUCAAAAACCACUGAGUGUAUGACUGUAUUAUACUGCAUUAUAAUAACAUUUAAUUACUUUAAUUUUUAAACAUUUGAAUAAGUUUAUUUGGACAUUUGUUUCUCACUCUCAGCAACAUUUGAAUCUCGAAACCCCUUGAUUGAUGAAAUGUAGUUAAUGGGCAGUUUAAAGCUCUAUAUGAUUUACCAGAACCAAUAGUGAGUUAGCUUUAAGCGUGUUGAGCCCACACUUAUGUCCAGAGGCAGCCAAUUAUUAUUUUUUAUUAAUAUGAGCGCUUAGGUUACAAGAUAUUAAAAAUGUGUAAACAGAUAUCUCCUCAAAUCAUGUUGUAAUGAUCUUUUAAAGAUAAAAAGGUCAAGUAUUAUUUUAAAAUACAUAAUAACAGCACAUGCCACAUCAAUUGUUUUAUAUGUCACAACAGUGAUGAUAAGUCUUCAUGCAGUUAUUUAUUUUGUCCUCAAAAAUGCCUCAGCGUGGAGAGAGAAAAAAAUCACAUCCUCAUGCAAGCGAGGCCGUUCUGAGAGGGGAACCAUGUUGCAGAUUUAUAAUUCAUAAUUCUUCAGAGUUAAUGCAGUAUUUACAUGAUAAUUAGUAUUAAUUUUUGAUUGGUGCCUCAGGGCAGUUCUGCAUUGUUAGGCUGAAGAAUCCGUGCCAUUAUUACCUUAUCAGUGUAACUGUCAGCCGCCUGUUUUAUUUUACAAAUGCACAUCUUGUAUUUUAUUAUCAGCUGCUCUCAUCAGCACAGAGCGGCGGUCUUGUUGCUUAUCAGCAGCUUUAACAAGAGGCCGUGUCACUUAAAUCAGGAAAGAAGCAACAACGCCUCUGUGUGUGUGCAAUACCGAACACACUGAAACAGUUGGUCUCUAAAUAAUUUUGUCUGUUGAAACUAAAGUGCAAAAAAUGCAUCUAUAAUCCAGUUCAUCACUAUAUUUAACUAUUCAUAUUCAUUAGUCAUAUAGUUGCAUUUGCAGUUUACUAUAGAUUUAGUUGUGACUUUCAAGUUUAACAGACUGAUUUGAGGCAAAAGAUUUUGGUUUCACAGGGUUGACAAAACAAUAGGAACACCAUACAUAAUGCAAUCUAACGCAAGUUGAUAGGACUUGAUGCUUCCUCCGGUUGUUUUAUCGACCCUCGACACAAUCAUUUUUUCCAUUUUCAGUGUAAAUAAAAAUCGUAACUGUAUGUAUCUCUUUUCAUAAGCAAUGCAUGAAUUAAGUUAUUUAAAACUUUAUUCUUUUGGUUUUUAACUCCCUGUAGUAGAGCUGUAACAAUAAGUUUUUUUUAACAGAAUAGUUGACUGACUUAAAAUUAAUGUAGAACUAUUUUGAUAAUUGAUUUAUCAUUUAAUAGCCAUACUCUGGUUCCAGCUUCUCAAAUGUGAGGAUGUGUUGCUUUGCUAUGAGUACUAAAUAUCGUUUGAGCUUUGGACUGCUGGUCUUAGAAAAUAAGAAAUUUGAAUAUGUUACUUUUCUAUGAAAUCGAGAUGGGCAUUUUUCUGUAUUUUUUAACCUUUUUCUAGACCAAAUAAUGAAUUGAUUAAUUGGGAAAAUCGUCAGCAGAUUAAUGGAUGAUUAAAAUAAUCGUUAGUUGCAGCUUUACCCUGAGGAGAAAGCAUUGGAUGCGUUCUAGGCUGUACAACACAACCACAAGUGCUGCUGGGUAAUUUAAUGUAAUGUGCAGAACGGUCUGGGCUUUAUGUGCUCCGUAGUGUUCUGCUUACUGACCAGCUGAUUAUUCAGUUGUGUCACAAUCUGCCUGUUUUGUAAAGCACUCAUGUUCUUACACCUGAGGGAAGCUUUGCUGUGUGAAGGAAGAGGUUUCAGCAUCACUUUGGGGUAUUUUAUUAACAGGACAGCAGGUGUACGACUCCCUGACCCGUUCCUUCCACCAGCUGUGUGUGUGUGUGUGUGUGUGUGUGUGUGUGUGUGUGUGUGUGUGUGUGUGUGUGUGUGUGUGUGUGUGUGUGUGUGUGUGUGUGUGUGUGUGUGCGUGUGUGUGUGAGCAUGUGGAGACCAAAUGGCAGACAACCAGAGCUUUGGGAAAACUGACCGAGCUUGGCAAAUCGACCAGCGACUCUGUUGAACCAAAAGCUGCCUGCUGCUCCCUAAAGUCAACUACUUUCUAGAGAAAACUUUGAGACGCUGCCUGUAUGCAGCUGGAUACUGAAGGCAAAGGGGCAUGCUUUUUUUUUUCUGUCUUUCAAGUGAAAAAAAGGCCCUCUAGAUUGACAGCGCCUUUCAUACUGUAUUAUCCGGCUUGGCUUUUAACUCUAGGAGAACUGUGUUCACAAAUUGAUGCUCUGCUCCUUUGGGGCUGUAGCUGAAACAUUAAAUUGUACUGAAAUAUUCAUAUGUGAGUGCAUUUAGCUGAGAGCAAUUGAUGUGCGACUCCCCAGAGGCCAGAUGGAAAUGUUGCAGGGCCCCAGCACACGCUGGCAGACACCCUGAGCUCUGGCCGGGACAGUGAUUUAGCCGAGGCUACCGAGUCAGACCAAGUUGAUGGCUACUGUAGUCAGGACGGCUGAUGUCAGUGUCUGCCCGGUGGCCAGAGACACUGCAAGAUAUCUGCUUGUGCCGUAGACCAGUUGGCAACUUAAAAGCUAGCAAGGAUUUUAAGACGACUUAAAAAAUAGAAGGGGAAAAGAGCAGUUUACCAGCCUAUCACCCUCCACAUUGUUUUAAGAAAAACCCUCACUGGUACAAAAAUCCCCAACAAGUGAUUUAAGUUGUCAAACAGCCACUUUUGUUGAGAAACAUUUCAGAGUAUGGCUGCUAGUCAAUUAGUUUUAGAUGGAUACAUUAUUCACUAAUGUAUUUUAUGACUAUCAAUGACUAAAUUAAAAAGUAUUGCUAUUGGAGUAAUUAUUUUCCAUUCAUAUUUCUACAUGUGUGUUUAUGAAAAUGCUAGUGCUCUACUGUAUAUUGCAGUAAUCUCAGCAGCAGUUCAGCAUCUGGCUCAAUGAAAGACAGUAAUGUAAUUCAGAUCACACAAAACUGACGGUAAAUCGUGUUUUAUAGUCUACCUACACUGUUUUUUAUUUAUUCCUCCAUUAAUAUGCAUAUAUGAAUAUAUCAUAAGACUUUCACAAGACCAAACUCAAAAUUCUUAUUUCAUUCAGAAAGUUUAUGUUUACAGUAGAGUAGUAUAAACAAAUAAUGUCAGUCGGAAACAAACAGGAAUUAUUUG